rnacentral:lncRNA from 1 species
CUCCUAAUCUCGUGAUCUGCCCACCUCAGCCUCCCAAAUAGCUGGGACUACAGGCGUGUGCCGCCAUGCCCGGCCAAUUUUUGUUUUUAUAGAAACGGGGUUUUGCUGCCAGGCGCAGUGGCUCACGCCUGUAAUCCCAGCACUUUGGGAGGCUGAGGUGGGCAGAUCACGAGAUCAGGAGAUCAAGACCAUCCUGGCUAACACGGUGAAACCCCGUCUCUAGUAAAAAUAUAAAAAAUUAGCCAGUCGUGGUGUGGUGGGUGCCUGUAGUCCCAGCUACUUGGGAGGCUGAGGCAGGAGAAUGGCAUGGACCCGGGAGGUGGAGCUUGCAGUGAGCCAAGAUCACGUCAUUGCACUCCAGCCUAGGCGACAGAGCGAGACUCCGUCUCAAAAUAAAAGAAGCCUGGGCGUGGUGGCUCACGCC